CCUAACACAUGCAAGUCGAGCGCAGGAAGCAAGCUGAUCCCCUUACGGGGGUGACGCUCGUGGAACGAGCGGCGGACGGGUGAGUAACACGUGGGCAACCUGCCUGUAAGACUGGGAUAACCCCGGGAAACCGGGGCUAAUACCGGAUAAUACUUUCUUUUGCAUAAAGGAAAGUUGAAAGGCGGCUUCGGCUGUCACUUACAGAUGGGCCCGCGGCGCAUUAGCUAGUUGGUGAGGUAACGGCUCACCAAGGCGACGAUGCGUAGCCGACCUGAGAGGGUGAUCGGCCACACUGGGACUGAGACACGGCCCAGACUCCUACGGGAGGCAGCAGUAGGGAAUCUUCCGCAAUGGACGAAAGUCUGACGGAGCAACGCCGCGUGAAUGAUGAAGGUUUUCGGAUCGUAAAACUCUGUUGUUAGGGAA
rnacentral:rRNA from 1 species